rnacentral:rRNA from 1 species
GACAGAGGGUGCAACCGUUGUUCGGAAUUACUGGGCGUAAAGCGCGUGUAGGCUGCUCAGAAAGUCGGAUGUGAAAGCCCUGGGCUUAACCUAGGAAGUGCAUUCGAAACUUCUGAGCUGGAGUUCUGGAGAGGAAGGCGGAAUUCUCGGUGUAGAGGUGAAAUUCGUAGAUAUCGAGAGGAACACCGGUGGCGAAGGCGGCCUUCUGGACAGUGACUGACGCUGAGACGCGAAAGCGUGGGGAGCGAACAGG